UACGUAGGGGGCUAGCGUUGUCCGGAAUCAUUGGGCGUAAAGCGCGCGUAGGCGGUCAGGAAAGUCCGGUGUGAAAGUCAUAGGCUCAACCUAUGGAUGCCGCUGGAAACUGCCUGACUUGAGUCCGGAAGGGGCGAGUGGAAUUCCUGGUGUAGCGGUGAAAUGCGCAGAUAUCAGGAGGAACACCAAUGGCGAAGGCAGCUCGCUGGGACGUGACUGACGCUGAGACGCGAAAGCGUGGGUAGCAAACAGG
rnacentral:rRNA from 1 species